AUACGGAGGGUGCAAGCGUUAUUCGGAAUCACUGGGCGUAAAGGGUGCGUAGGCGGUUUGGUAAGUCUGAUGUGAAAUCCUAUGGCUCAACCAUAGAACUGCAUUGGAAACUGCUAAACUAGAAUACUGAAGGGGCAGAUGGAAUUAGUGGUGUAGGGGUAAAAUCCGUAGAUAUCACUAGGAAUACCGAAAGCGAAAGCGAUCUGCUGGGAAGUUAUUGACGCUGAGGCACGAAAGCGUGGGGAGCAAACGGGAUUAGAAACCCUAGUAGUCC
rnacentral:rRNA from 1 species